ACUGAGUAAUACUAGAUUACUCA
rnacentral:snRNA from 1 species